AUUCGCCGCGGGUGUAGCCAAGUGGAUUAAGGCAAUGGAUUGUGAAUCCAUCAUUCGCGGGUUCAAUUCCCGUC
rnacentral:tRNA from 4 species